GAUGAACGCUGACAGAAUGCUUAACACAUGCAAGUCAACUGUGGCGGACGGGUUAGUAACGCGUAAAGAACUUGCCUCUCAGAUAGGGACAACAUUUGGAAACGAAUGCUCAUACCUGAAACUGUGAGAGAGCUUUGCGUCCCAUUAGCUAGUUGGAGAGGUAACGGCUCACGAAGGCGAUGAUGGGUAGCCGGCCUGAGAGGGUGAUCGGCCACAAGGGGACUGAGACACGGCCCUUACGCCUACGGGAGGAAGCAGUGGGGAAUAUUGGACAAUGGACCAAAGGCUGAUCCAGCAAUUCUGUAUGCACGAUAAAGUUGUCGGAAUGUAAAGUGCUUUAAGUUAGGGAGCGGUACCAACAGAAGAAGUGACGGCUAAAUACGUGCCAGCAGCCGCGGUAAUAC
rnacentral:rRNA from 1 species